UUAAAGGUUUUUUUAAAACCACAACAUUUGCAAUAACACAUAAUG
rfam:Xenopus tropicalis strain Nigerian Chr02_contig_2511, whole genome shotgun sequence.